rnacentral:lncRNA from 13 species
UCGAAGGGCUUUUUGGUCUGUCAGUGUAGGGUUACUAUGAGCUCUCUAACAAACUACUACAUCCAGGCCUCAAAGCUGCUGGAAAAUGAUCUGGAUUACGAAGGAAUAAAUUUGAUAUGUUAGCAAUCACAAGUGGGAACUGAAAAGAAAGGCUUCCUUAAUACGGUUCUUUUAGGCUAUAAUGGGAAAUACGAAGAUAAAUCUGGCUCAGCGACAAACCCACAUAAGACUGCGGCAAGCACACAGAAUAUAGAUCUCGGUUAUGAGAUGUGUAAAACACACAAUGGCCUGAAUCAGGAGCUAAGUAUAUAAGUGCAAACAAACCCGUUUUUAUAGUUAGCAUGGCAUUUUGAAUGGAGUUUUAAGCCUAAAGGACAGUAUCCUACUUGCAGAAGAAGAUGGGAAAUAAAACACUCCAUUAUUUUGCUUUGGAUUUAUGGAAACUCUGAACAGUGAUGUGAGAGUGACUGCAGUUUGAAGUCUCUGUUAAAUACAGCAACAUGACAUCACAAGGUAAUGAACACAAACAGAUGGUGUACAUUGUGACUUCAUUGCUCUCUGUUUCAGAGCCUCCUCAAACUUUAUCUCAGGAUUGUUUUGGAGUCUUCUGGAUAUGAGAACAUUAUAAAAGAUAAAAAAGUAGAACUGAAAUAUUAAGGGAGAAACAGAGAUAACUAUGGUUUCAAGCCUCACUUAGAGAAGG